UAUUUAUCACUGAAAUUUAAAGGAGCAGUGUGCAGGAUUUUAGGGGAUCUAUUGGCAGAAAUGGAAUAUAAUAUUCACAACUACGUUUUCAUUAGUGUAUAAUCACCUGAAACUAGAAUCGUAUUUUCGUUAGCUUAGAAUGAGCCCUUUAUAUCUACAUAGAGAGCUGGACCUUUUCCAAGGAUUCUGCCAUGUUGCACCACCAUGUU